AACGAACGCUGGCGGCGUGGAUAAGACAUGCAAGUCGAGCGCAAUUUAUUUUGUAGCAAUACAGAGUAAGUUGAGCGGCGCAAGGGUGCGUAACACGUGGGCAAUUUGCCAUAAAGUUGGGGAUAACUUGCUGAAAGGCGAGCUAAUACCGAAUGUAGUUAUUGGGAGGCAUCUCCUGGUGACUAAAGUUGGGGAUCGCAAGACCUGACGCUUUAUGAUGAGCCCGCGGCCUAUCAGCUAGUUGGUGAGGUAACGGCUCACCAAGGCUAAGACGGGUAGCUGGUCUGAGAGGACGACCAGCCACACUGGAACUGAGACACGGUCCAGACACCUACGGGU
rnacentral:rRNA from 1 species